rnacentral:piRNA from 1 species
ACCAUGUCCAUCCUGUGAGACAAAGUUGUCU